AGAAUGACACAACGUGGCGCUGCACCAAUGAACAAAUGUAUUCAUUAACCGACCAAAAUAUUUUAACUUCAUGUCCUCGAUAUUAUAUAGUAGUUGUGUGAAAAUUUAUUAAAUAUGUAGGUAUGAGAUAUUACAAUUCUCAUUUUAUUACAGCAUUAUUUUAAUCGAUUUAUCUUUGAACUUGCAAAACUAAUAGAUCACUUACGAAUAUAAAGAUGUAUAUAUCAAACGUGUGCAUGUAUAACUAUACUAAGUGCUUAUGUAACUUAAAUGGACAUGUUGAAUAAUAUUGAAGAUAUUAUAAUGGGAAAAUGGAGGAAGGCGGAAGGGUCAAAGUUCGACAGACAAAUGCUAAUGGCAAUGACAAUGAAGAAAUAAGAAAAUGGCCGGCAUUGUGUGACGCGAAUCCGUAUAUAGUGGAUCUUUUAAAUAAUCUUUUCAAAAAAAAAGAAACAAUCAAUGAAUCAUCAUCAAAUACUUAAAAUUCAGAUUAAUGAUUUUUUUUUAUUAUAAGCUUUUAAAUGUCAUUAAAAUAAUCAGUCAAAAUAAAUCAUACACAAAUUACU